rnacentral:rRNA from 1 species
AGAGACAGCAGUAGCCGCGGUAAAACGGAGGGUGCAAGCGUUAUCCGGAUUUAUUGGGUUUAAAGGGUCCGUAGGCGGACUUAUAAGUCAGUGGUGAAAGCCUGUCGCUUAACGAUAGAACUGCCAUUGAUACUGUAAGUCUUGAGUAUAUUUGAGGUAGCUGGAAUAAGUAGUGUAGCGGUGAAAUGCAUAGAUAUUACUUAGAACACCAAUUGCGAAGGCAGGUUACCAAGAUAUAACUGACGCUGAGGGACGAAAGCGUGGGUAGCGAACAGGAUUAGAUACCCCAGUAGUCCCUGUCUCUUAUAC